UACUUUAUACUCUAAAGUUAAAAGUUUUUAUUAAGGUUAUUGUAAAGGCUUCUUAAAAAUGCUGUCGCUGAUGAGCCUCUGAUCGCUGUCAGAUUCUGUGAUAUGAAUGUCCGCUAAUGGGCUUAGAAUGAGCCCCGCUCGGCCAGUGUUCUGGCUUACUGUAAUAUUUCACCGGUAAUAAGACCGAAAUAAUAUAAUUAAAAUAAAGAAAUGAAUGAAUACAUGAUAACAUCUAAAUAAAUGUUGAUAGAUUUAGCGUUAUAGUUUUAAAAAUAUUAAUAAACAGCAAAUCAACACAGCUUCGAAAUAAUAACCGAGAAAGACCUAAAUAAUAAUAAUACAUAAUUAAUAAACAGCGCCGCCCCUCCCACCACGCGCAUCACGCGCAUCACGCGCUGUGCGUCAACCCCAAAGCGUCAAAAACUGAAGCGUGGUCAAGCGCCACUGACGUGAGAUGUUUAUCGCUUUGAAAUCACGUUCAAGAAGUCUCAUUCAGCACACAUCGCGAUACUUUCCAUCAGUUUACAAGAGCCGCAGGUUGGGUGAGUUAUACAGUCUAUGGUGAGUAGUAGUAAAUAUGCUCUUUUAAUGCCUGUCAUAAAAUGUAUUCUGUCUUCUUUAUUAAUCAGAUGAGCGCCUUAUGUUUACUCUCUGUAUUACAUCGGUCAUCCGAGGCUGUCUUUGAGUUUCGUUGUGUUUAACUAAAUGAACACAGCUGCUAACUGGUUAAACUCUAUCGGUCACGUGACGUGACGUGCCACAGACCGGGGAUCCGUUUUAUAUUCAUUUCAGGUUCAAAGAUGUAAGUUGUAUUUGUAGUAAAAUCAUGGUAACCAUGACACCUACAAUAGUAGGUAAAACCCAGUAAACAAGACAUUUACCAUGUUUUUUGUUUUUGUUUUUGUUUUUUACCACAGUAACUGUAGUUUUACUGUGGUAUAGUAAUAGCACAAUAAUCACCAAAAUAACUAUAGUUGUACCACUGUAAUGGUAGUGUUUUAAUGUGCUUUUAUAUGACAUAUUUCACAGUAAUCACAUUUACUGUACCAUGCUUGUAAUACAUUUUUAAUGUAAAUAAAAAAAAAAAAAAAAACAUUUUUCCCAUCUUGCAGUUCAAUUCAUAUUGGUUUAUAUCUUAAAUAUUUUGCUCACAGAUCACUAUAAACAUUCUGUAUAUAAUUCUGUUUUAUUUUCUUUCCCCUUGUAUUAAUUUCUUAGCUGAAAAGGCGUAAAGGAAGCAGUCACCCCAGUGGUGCUUGUGGAGAGGUAUUCCUUCAGAAAUUGAGAAGACAGAAAGCUGCAGAGGCAGGAUUGUUUGCAGAUAAUGCUGUUCUUCUUUUUCAGAAGUUUUUGGGGAGCCAACCCUCACAAACCUUCCUAAAAACUUAAAGAGCUAUUACUGAGUCUCAGCGACUCUUGCCACGAUCAGCUCUUCCCAGAAGAGAAGGAAGACCAAGGAAAUGAUUUGCUCAGGAUGAGAAAUGAAGAUGGUCAUCUUGUGCUCAAGCAAACAGAAGUCCUCUGAUGAUCUCAUCAACCAAAUGAGGGGUUUUGACCAAGUGAUGCUCUUGAAAGGACUGAAAGAAGAGGAUGUGGUAAAUUGUCUUCAGAGAAAAAGCUUCUCAAAAGAUCUUAAAACAGCUUGAAGAAUGGUCUGGGAUCUUAGGACUGGGAGAUCUCACUGGCACCCAGUUAACCUCCAUAGAGAACAUUUAUCAGAAGCGCUGUCUGGGUAGGGCAAGAAACAUCAUCAAGGAUGCCUCUCACCCUAACCAUGGACCUUUCACCCUCCUUCCAUCCGGCAGGCGUUACAGAAGCCUACGCUCUCGCACUAGUAGACUCAGGAAGAGCUUCUUCCCUGAGGCUUUGACACUCCUGAACUCCACACCACCAAUCUAACCUGCACCUGCUCUUUUACUGCACUGGUCACGUACUUUACAUUCAUGUAUUGCACUACUCAUAUUUUGCACAGACUGCACAUGGUUAAAUCCAUUACACUAUAAACUGUCUAAAGCUGUUACUGUACAAGCACAGUAAACUAUUUCUACAAUAAAUAUAAUUGCACUACUAUUAUUUUACAUAUAAUAAAUUGUUAAACUAUACUUUUGCACACUCAUUCAACUGUAUUUAUUACCACUGUUCUCAAGUUCCUGCUAUUCAUAAUGUAUAUAUAAUCCUUCUUUGCUCUGUUCAUAAUGUACAUACAAUCCCUACAUUACAUUCAUAUUUAUAUUCUGUAUAUACUCUGAUCAAUAUUGUAUAUAGCAACUCCACUGUAAAUUCUGUAUAUCAUAGCUUCACUUACUCUGCACUUAAGUAUAUAAAACACUAUAUUCUUGCACUUCUGGCUAGAUGCUAACUGCAUUUCAUUAGCUCUGUACUUGUACUCUGCAUAAUGACAAUAAAGUUGAAUCUAAUCUAAUCUAAUCUAAUCUAAUCUAAUCUUCUGGCUGAGAACAAGCUACACCACAUCAGUGCUGGAUAUCAACCAAAAGCUGUUUCCAGACACGAGAGAAGAUCACGAUGAAACCAGUUUAGAUGUGUUGAUAAGGAAUCAUUAUUUUCUGAAACAGUAUCAAAUGUCUUAUAUGUAUCACAUGAUCUGUAUCACAGUUGACUGGAUGGGACUGUGACUUUUAAGGACAUUUCAUCACUCAUCUGUGUGAACUGAUUAAUAUAUGAGGUUAAUGUAUUUUUGAUUAUGAAUAAUUAUUUUCCUUGAAUCUUAUUUGUCUUGAUGCUACUUUAUCAUCUUUAUAGUCUAUGCUUCAAUAAAAUGAAUAUGACGAA